GAUGAACGCUAGCUACAGGCUUAACACAUGCAAGUCGAGGGGAAACGACAUUGAAGCUUGCUUCGAUGGUCGUCGACCGGCGCACGGGUGAGUAACGCGUAUCCAACCUGCCUCUGACCAAGGGAUAACCCGUCGAAAGUCGGACUAAUACCUUAUGCAGUCGUCGGAAGUCAUCUGAUGACGACGAAAGAUUUCAUCGGUGAGAGAUGGGGAUGCGUCUGAUUAGCUUGUUGGCGGGGUAACGGCCCACCAAGGCUACGAUCAGUAGGGGUUCUGAGAGGAAGGUCCCCCACAUUGGAACUGAGACACGGUCCAAACUCCUACGGGAGGCAGCAGUGAGGAAUAUUGGUCAAUGGACGAGAGUCUGAACCAGCCAAGUAGCGUGCAGGAUGACGGCCCUAUGGGUUGUAAACUGCUUUUAUGCGGGGAUAAAGUGAGGGACGUGUCCCUCAUUGCAGGUACCG
rnacentral:rRNA from 1 species